rnacentral:rRNA from 1 species
CACGGGGGGAGCAAGCGUUGUUUGGAAUUACUGGGCGUAAAGGGCUCGUAGGCGGCCAACUAAGUCAGACGUGAAAUCCCUCGGCUUAACCGGGGAACUGCGUCUGAUACUGGAUGGCUUGAGGUUGGGAGAGGGAUGCGGAAUUCCAGGUGUAGCGGUGAAAUGCGUAGAUAUCUGGAGGAACACCGGUGGCGAAGGCGGCAUCCUGGACCGGCAUUGACGCUGAGGCGCGAAAGCCAGGGGAGCAAACGGG